CAGCAGUGAUGUCUAGCUCGCACAUCAUGAAGAACGCUGCGAACUGCGAUACGUAAUGCGAAUUGCAGGAUUCAGUGAGUCAUCGAAAUUUUGAACGCAUAUUGCACUUCCGGGUUAGUCCUGGAAGUAUGCCUGUAUCAGUGUCCGUACAACAAACUUGGCUUUCUUCCUUCCGUGUAGUCGGUGGAGGAGAUGCCAGAUGUGAAGUGUCUUGCGGUUGGUUUUCGGACCGACUGCGAGUCCUUUUAAAUGUACUAAACUGGUACUUCUCUUUGCUCCAAAAGUGGUGGCAUUGCUGGUUGUGGACCUGCUAUUGUAGCGAGUUGGCGACCGGUUUGUCUGCUGCGGCGUUAAUGGAGAAAUGCUCGAUUCGUGGUAUGGUUGGCUUCGGCUGAACAAUGCGCUUAUUGGGUGAUUUUCCUGCUGUGGCGUGAUGGACUGGUGAACCAUGGCUCUUUAGCUUGGCAUUUGAAUCGGCUUUGCUGUUGCGAAGGAGAAGGCGGCUUCGGCUGCCGAGGGUCGAUCCAUUUGG
rnacentral:rRNA from 1 species